rnacentral:rRNA from 1 species
CCUACGGGAGGCAGCAGUGAGGAAUAUUGGUCAAUGGGCGCUAGCCUGAACCAGCCAAGUAGCGUGAAGGAUGACUGCCCUAUGGGUUGUAAACUUCUUUUAUACGGGAAUAACGUGCAGUAUGUAUACUGCUUUGCAUGUACCUUAUGAAUAAGGAUCGGCUAACUCCGUGCCAGCAGCCGCGGUAAUACGGAGGGUCCGAGCGUUAUCCGGAUUUAUUGGGUUUAAAGGGAGCGUAGGCGGGUUGUCAAGUGAGUUGUGAAAGGUUCGGGCUCAACCGUAACAUUGCAGUUGAUACUGGCAGCCUUGAGUACAGGAGAGGUAGGCGGAAUUCGUGGUGGAGCGGUGAAAUGCUUAGAUAUGACGAAGAACUCCGAUUGCGAAGGCAGCCUGCUGGAGCGUAACUGACGCUGAUGCUCGAAAGUGUGGGUAUCGAACAGGAUUAGAUACCCUGGUAGUC